rnacentral:lncRNA from 1 species
AUGUGUCGCUUUUAUUGUUUCGCACACGGGCAUAAGGCCCAUGAACACCCGUGGCAACAUAUGAACAGAAGAUGCAACUCUCCGUCUCCAACUACUAUGACUUCUCCAUCUCCUUGCUUCCCGGCUAUGUUGAGGAAGACAUUCCACCCGUCCCAGUCUGAGCCCCUGGAAGGCAGACUCCCCAACCAGGCCAGGCAGCCGGAAGACAUGCUGGAAAUUAAUCAGAGAAAAUAAACAGGAGAAGAGGAAGUGUCCAACGCAAACUAAUCCCUUUUCUUUAAUUACUUGGGAACACACUUGGGUCUUUCCCUGGCGGCACAGGCAAAACAAACCAAUUUCACUGAGCCAACGUACCUCUAGUUCAGCAGUUCUCAGAGUGUGGUCCUUGGGCCAGUGGCAGCAAGGUACUCAUUAAAAUGAG